UCGCCGCUGACAGCUGGGGCUGCUCGCGGCCCGCACCCUCCACCCGCCGCCCGGCCCCUCCGCGCCCGCGGCCCCGCGCAGGUCCGGGGUCCCCUAUCUCCCCUCUCUCCCUUCCCGCAGGCCUCGCCGGGUGGCCUUUCCCGCUCAGCCUUUCCCGCCUCUCUCCCUUUCUCCGACUGUUUCUAUCUUGCUGUCAUCCCCCCCGGCCCCCGCACUGUUAUUACCUGCGCUCGGUUCCUAUUGCUUUCUUCAUUCCUGCUCUUUCUCCUUUUCUCCGACGCCCCCUCCCCUUUUGUUUUGUCUCCCCCGCCCCUUACUCACCAUUUCCCUUUUCCCGGUACCGUCUUCCCCGCUGGCGAAAGACUGCGUUUCUCGGCUCAAGGACCUGAGAGGGACAUCGCUUCACCACGCCCAGACAGGGGGCCCAGGACGCCGGCGCCCGCAUUCCCAAGACGUUUCAAAAGCGAACUUUUCUAGCUCCUUCCCAGGGGCUGAGUUUCAGCUUUGGAGCUAGGAGAGGAACCAAGCUUAACGAGCUUUGGUUGGACAAAGGGCCAGACUCAGCCAGAGGAGUUCGUGAUGGCAGAGUUGAGCUAGAAUUUCUUCAGCAGCUGCAACCUGGAUUCUCAAUGGAUGGUGUAAUUCCUUCAGGGCCUCAGCAGUUUUAUUAAUCUGAUGCCAAGUCUCAGACACCUCACUUUAAAACAACUUCAUCAGGACACAUAAGAUUAUCACAGUGCAGACUUCAUAUAGCUCCAUAUUACAAUUAAGAAAAGUGGUCAACCUUCAGGAGUCGUCUCAGGCAACUUGAUGUUCUCAGACUUUGAGCACUGCCCAAAGGCCAUUCUAUCCAUGAGAAGGAGGGAAGACUGAGGAAGCCUUGGCUUCCAUUUCACUAUCAUGCAUCUCAGUCAAUGUCAGUUUGAAAUCCAUAACUGAUGUACUUAACCUCAAUUGGAGGAAAUCUUCUAGCAAGAGGUUAAUUUUGGACUAUGCAUUAAUUUUUGCACUAGACAGUUACCUAAAGUGGGGUAGGUAAUCCACCUGUACACACUGCCUACCCUCUCUGAGAAGGACAUUAAGACACUUCUGCCUUCUUGGAAAACUUGCAAGUUUACAUUAACAAUAACCCCAGUCACCAGGGUUUAUUCAAAACCUCUUCAUCUUUCCUUUUCCCUUUAAACCCUGAGUGCCUAGAAUUUCGGUACCUUCUUGUGAGCCCUGUGUGGUAACACAGCUCCCCCUGAUUUUAUUAUCUUCUGAGCAGACACUUUCAGUUCUAGACACACAAAUGGCUGCUAUGUCCUCUUGUUUUGGAGUUGUUUGGGAAUAAGAGUGUUCUAGAGAAGGUUUUUCACCUCAUCCCCACAUUUGUUUCAGUUGGAAAAUUACCACUCACUAAUCUAGCUAGGAGCUGCUGUGGGCUUCUAAACAUUGUGCCCUGUGGCUUAGUAAGGGCCAACUCCUUUGCCUUGACUUCUCAAGACACUGUCUUUUCUUGGGUUCUGAAGUCCAUAAAUUUCUUGGGCACAUUCCUCUGGGGCCCAGGCAAUGCCCAAUAUCUACCUACAAUAACUGUAUUACUUUGAAAUUCACCUGGAGAUACUUCCACUGUUUUCUGUUCUUGUACCUGAGGACAAGCCUAUAUGAAUCCAAAAUUCAUCCUUCCAGAAAUUCCUUGUUGACCUUGAAUGCAUAAUACAAUUUGGAGCAGUGAAUACUGCUCUUCCUGGCACCAACAAUUAACAGUUAAAAGUUGGAACCUUGCCAUUGCUCUGUAGCACACGAGGAACUUGGCUGCCUUGAAACUUCAAAGAAACAGAUAUUUUUCUGCCCACCAAGGCCUGAAAAGGUCUAGUCUCCCUCACCUAGCCUGCAGUACAAGUCCAAGGUGUUUCUGCACAAAGGUUGCAGUGGUCUGCACUGAGUCUGCUGCUUUGAUGAGGCCAGCGCAACCAAAGUUAACCUGCUGUACUGAUGACUGCUUAGGCCAACCGUGUGGACUGACCACCUUUGCGUAAGGAAGAUAUGGCCUGAGCAACAUUUGCUUGAAGCUGCCGGUAGUUCAGUCUUGACUCUAGAAAUAGUCAUUCUCCUGUGAACAAAGCUAUUAUAAGCUCUUGCUGAGAGCACAGCAAUUAAAGGCCAACUGCACAACAGUAAAAAGCUACCUGGCCUAAUAUAAACCUCUACAAAUCCCUAAGGUCACUGUGCCUUGCACAGCACAAGACCCACGCACCUUGGCCCCACCAAAAGCCCUUCCAUAUGUCACUUUCUUCUGAAAAUUCCAUUCCACAAUUUAUUUUUCAAUAUUCCAGGCUCAUGUACCAAAUGACAGGGUCUUUGUGCUCAAUCAAUGGCACCUUUUUACUCCACCUCAGUUCUGAUACAGAAAAAGGCUAAGAUAUGGCUUAUAUCUUUGGGCAAGUGUGCUUCCUAAAAAAUCCCUGUGUUAGGCAGACAUACCCACCAAUCAGAGAAUGCCAGUCCAUCACCACUCCCCUUUCUCCCUCCAUGACAUAAUACCCAGCAUGGAGCAGAAGAGAGCAGCUGUUCCCUAUAGGCAGCUCAUUACCAAGAGGCACAAGGAACGAACUGAGUUUAGCUAAGCAUAUGCAGUGUAUUCUUCCUAAAUUCACUAACCAGACUAAACCGUGUCUUUUUCCCUUGAGAAGUGAGUCGUAGAAAGAGAUCAGGAGAGUCACACCUCCCUAUGGAAGUUUCCCCAUUACCAACACCCAUAUGGGAAAGGAUGCAUUAUAUAGGAGUUUAAUUCAUCUACUCUGCAAAACAGUUCCUAAACAGGUAGCCCAUCCCUUCUUUUCUUUAGUGUUUGCUCUAGUAGAGAUGUAUUAAAAACAAAACAACAAACUCUUAACAUUGUUAUGCUUCUGUUUUGUAAGCUUUAGUUCACUCUGCCUCUAAACCUUCUGCAGUUCUGUUAGGUCCACACCUCUGUUUAAUUUGUCUCUGAAAUAUUUAAUCACCUGAAUACUUUUUCUUUAAAUCCAACAUUAGCAACACCUAAAGUAUCACAGAAUAUCUUGUCCUUUUCCAUUAUAUAAACUGUUUCUCAAACAACAUUAUUAGAUGGUCAGUCAAUUUUUGAUGGAGGUGCAAAAGCAUUCAGUGAAGGAAAGAAUAGUAUUUUAAACAAAUGGUGCAGGGAAAACUAGAUAUCCAUAAGCAAAAGAAUGAAGGUGGAUUCCUACCUCAUACCACAUACAAAAACUAACUCAACAUGAAUCAAAGACCUAAAUAUAAGAACUAA